rnacentral:rRNA from 1 species
CCUACGGGAGGCAGCAGUGAGGAAGAUUGGUCAAUGGGCGGAAGCCUGAACCAGCCAAGUAGCGUGCAGGAUGACGGCCCUACGGGUUGUAAACUGCUUUUAUACGGGAAUAACGCGCCUUACGUGUAGGGCUUUGCAUGUACCGUAUGAAUAAGGGCCGGCUAAUUCCGUGCCAGCAGCCGCGGUAAUACGGAAGGGCCGAGCGUUAUCCGGAUUCAUUGGGCUUACAGGGAGCGUAGGCGGGCGUUCAAGGCAGCUGUAAACUCGCCCGGCUCAACCGCGCCCCGCAGUUGAAACUGGACGCCUUGCUUUCACCACAGGCAGGCGGAAUUCGUGUUGUAGCGGU